rnacentral:tRNA from 12 species
GGAAGCAGAUGGGGUCUGGUGGCUCCCGCGGUCUUCAAAACCGUAGGUUGCAUAAUUCGCAAUGGCAGGUUCGAUUCCUGCCUCUUCCG